AUUUAAUAGAUCGUUAAAGAUCGCAAACACGAAUCAAACACCAAAGUGAUUCUAUUCCUAAAUUACGAUGAUUCAUCUGUUUCAUUCCUCAACCUUUAACAUGUGCGAUCAAUGUUGUGAUCACUUGUUGGUUCGUCCGUGCAGCGUACGAUCUCACCAGUGUGAUUUGAACAUUAACAUUUGCAUUCGCACUGCCGUUGACCUAAAGAGAGCCGAUGUCAUGUGUCAUGAAUGAAACCGCUUCACAGUCUUUUCAGCCACACAGCAUCAUUUGUUUCUGUGUAACAGACAUUCAAAUCACAGAAGUACUGGGAUAGAAGUUUAUAUAAUUUGAUAUUUCAAAUGAAGAUUUAUCAAUUACAAUGUUUCGCCAGUAGGUAGCGAAAAGGGGGCAUUAAAAUGUAUUUGUCUUUGAAUCAUACAAGACAUUAGUUCAAGAAUGUCGAUUCAUCCAGUAAUGAAACAACAUCUUGAGUUAUUCAUUCAUUCAUAAAUUACAUUUGAUUUUGUUUAGUUCUCUAAUGUUUUACUUUCAGAAUCGUGAGAGAACCACAACUUACAUUGGGGAAAGAAAAAAAAAAGUUAUGUAGCAUGUUGAUUUUUGUUCAUGUUAUUCAGCUUCAAUAAAUGGUUUGCAAAAUAAAGAGA